rnacentral:rRNA from 1 species
GACGAACGCUGGCGGCGUGCCUAAUACAUGCAAGUAGAACGCACAGUUUAUACCGUAGCUUGCUACACCAUAGACUGUGAGUUGCGAACGGGUGAGUAACGCGUAGGUAACCUGCCUGGUAGCGGGGGAUAACUAUUGGAAACGAUAGCUAAUACCGCAUAAUAUUAAUUAUUGCAUGAUAAUUGAUUGAAAGAUGCAACUGCAUCACUACCAGAUGGACCUGCGUUGUAUUAGCUAGUAGGUGAGGUAACGGCUCACCUAGGCGACGAUACAUAGCCGGCCUGAGAGGGUGAUCGGCCACACUGGGACUGAGACACGGCCCAGACUCCUACGGGAGGCAGCAGUAGGGAAUCUUCGGCAAUGGACGAAAGUCUGACCGAGCAACGCCGCGUGAGUGAAGAAGGUUUUCGGAUCGUAAAGCUCUGUUGUAAGAGAAGAACGGGUGUGAGAGUGGAAAGUUCACACUGUGACGGUAUCUUACCAGAAAGGGACGGCUAACUACGUG